rnacentral:lncRNA from 1 species
UGACCCUCCUAACCACCACUUUGACCUCUCUCAGCCUAUUUUCCAGCACAUUGCUCAGUACAAAGCUGGAAUUGUCCCUGUUAUUUACAGAAGGUAACCAUAAUUGCUUAUUUUUCACCUCGAAAUUUCAAACAAUAAAAAUCCCAUUGUACUUGUCGGUUUUAAACUGUUAAAAACCUGAUAAGUUCUAUAUAUAUUUUUCAAAAAAAAAAAAAGUUAAUGAGGUUUACUUUUUAAAUAUUUUAAUUUUCUUAGAUUAUAUACACUUACCUUACCUAAACAUCUUUUAUCUUUUAUCUUUAGUACUAACCAUUGUAUAAAAAAAACAUUUUAAAUUUUAACUAAAAUAUAAAAAUGGCAGAAAUAUCUUUAUAGUAAUGGUUUUUAUUUUAGAAAAAAAAAGAAUUUUUAUUAAUUUUUUAUUUGAAUUGAAACAUAAUUGAUAGACCACGCUAAUUUAGAUAAUCUUAAAAAAUGGUAAUUAUAGAUACUAAAGAUAUUAACAUUAAAUCAAAUGUUUUUUGGUUAAUUAUUUAAUGAUAGAAAAACUGAAUUGUUUUGCAGGGUAAGAUGCAGGAGAAGUGGGGGAAUAAGAUUCACCAUUAAUGGCCAUUCUUACUUCAAUUUGGUGCUUAUAACCAAUGUUGGAGGUGCCGGUGAUGUCCAUUCAGUCGCCGUUAAAGGUUCAAGGACCAGAUGGCAACAGAUGUCCAGAAACUGGGGACAAAACUGGCAAAGCAAUGCUUACCUCAAUGGCCAAAGCCUAU